UAACAGCAAUAUUAACUUGUAACGAAGCCAGCUGUCAUCAAACACACAUGGCGGGUGGCUUGUACAAGCUUUCCUCACCUUCAGCUACAGACCAUUACUAUGUCUAAGGAUAAGCAACAGAAAUUUAUUCCAGUUUGCGACGGUGCACCGAAAACUCAAAUUCCACCACCGGAACUCGAAGAAUAUGUUAGGCCUCCAUGUGUAGCGAAUCUUCCGCCUUGUCCUAUGAAAAAGAAGUCUAGACCACCAACACCUGUGCCAGAACCUGAUAUGCCCGUUCAUCCAUGCCCACCAUCACUGAAGUGCCCCAAUCCUUGUAGCCAGUAGCCGUUUUUUGUGUCGAUUCUUCACAUUUUGUGGACAUAUUUGAUGAUCAACAACUGAGCUUGUCAAAAUCUGUUCGCUGCCAGAAAAAAAGUUUCAACACCAGUUAGCACCAGGAGAGCAAUGGGAGAAUACAAUGCCAUCACUACAGAUAAGUUAGUUGAUAAUUGUGAACAAGAGCUCGAUGUUGUAGACGUUCCUGGAGACAAACCAGCUGACAAAGUAGACGUUAAUCCAGCAGACAAUCCAGAAGUUCAAACCGACAGUCUUACAUCGGAGAAGCCUCUAGAAAGUAAGGCCGAAGGAGACGUAGAGAAGUCUGACGGCACUGUGUGUGAAGAAGCAAACAAGGAAGUGGAACAAGUCACUACCGCAACACCAGAAAUGAAAUCGACCAAGCCCGCCAAAUCAGAAGAAAAAUGCGUCUUCAGGGAGAGAUACAUUCCAGUGCCAGUACUAGAGGAAUACGUCCGACCUCCAUGCACAGUGGCCUACCCGCCAUGUAAACGACCACCGACACCACCCCCUCCACCAAGGCCACCAACUCCAGUACCCGAUCCCGACAUGCCUUUAUCACCAUGCCCACUUCCAUACAAGGCGGUCAGUGAUUGUUGUCAGAAAUAAACAGCCCGUGAAAGAGUCUGAAGUGAACAGUGAAAGACUACAGUGAAGAACAGUAACCUCCUUGAAGACUCCCUUAAUACUUCAACAUGUCUCAAUGCAACUCUUGUGGAAAGGACUCAGCAAAAGAAACCAAUGGCAAAAAUUCUAAGAACGGAAGUGAUACUUGCCCCGCUUGCCCUCCCCCGGCGAAAGAGUCUGGUCCUGUUGCAACAACUUGUCAAGCAAACAAACAGUUCAGCAGCAACUGCAAAAAGUGUGGAGAAAAGAAAACCUGUGGAUGCAAAAAAUAAUUUGGAACGAAUACACGGUGCAGGAUACUAGCCCGGAAGAAAAGGUCCGGAAAUGCCAAGCAGUAAAACCCUCGUCGCCCUCACUUGGUUGCAGUGUACAAGUCCAACUCUUGUGGUUGCAGUGUACAACUCCUCAAGUUUGUGCAAGUCUUUAAGGAGCUCUACACUAACUUCUCUGUAGUCUUUCGAAAUACCAUCAACGGCCAAAUUGUAACAAAUAAAAAAAUAAGAACUA